UUGACCUCAAAUCAGGUAGGAUUACCCGCU
rnacentral:ncRNA from 4 species